AUGGCGAGCCUCUCUUCUCAUCUCACAUGCUUGAUCUCUCUGAGGAGCCUGAUGAGGAGAACAUUGCCAUCU
rnacentral:ribozyme from 1 species